rnacentral:rRNA from 1 species
UCUACGGCCAUACCAUCCUGAACGUGCCCAAUGUCCUCUGAUCUUUGAAGCUAAGCAAGGUCGGCCCUAGUUAGUACUUGGAUGGGAGUUAUGCAAGGAUUGUGAGGGCAUUAAGAA